CGACGACGGCGACUCAUUCCUGGCCGCGACGGUGACGGCGACUCGCUCCUGGCCGCGACAGUGACGACGACUCGCUCCUGGCCGCGACGGCGACGUUGGCCGGCAGCCGUGACCUGACCGUGACGGCGAAUCGCUCAUCCUCCUCUGCUCCACCAAGAACUGUUAAGAGUGAUUUGGAGGAUUCAAGAUUCUGUGAAGCUCUUUUGACAUUUAAAGCUCAGAACUGAAGAUAAUGGAUACGAGUAACCAUGAUGAUGGAUAUGAGUCAUGUACUGAUUCUGAGGAGGAGGAGGAGGAGGAGAUGAUGUUUCUUGUCUUCCCGGCAAUAUAUUGUAUAUCUUCUAGGAGGGAAAAGAUUCCAGUGAAUACAUCCAUUCUUACGGGAG